AGUUCCAAAAACUCAAAACCCAACUAUCCUACAUUUUUAUAUAUAUCACUUCUUAUCCCCUCUCAUCACCGCAUAUAUAUGACUAAUUGACUAUUCUUUUCUUGUUAUGUGAUUUUCUUUUUCUUUUUUUUUAUGAACAGUAUGUGAAGAAGGAAUAUUGGGGAGAAGAGGAAGGGAGGAUCUAGUUGAUAGGGUUGUUGACAGAAGAUAGAGAGCACAGAUAGUGAUAUGCAUAAAAAUAUGGAACGGGAAAGCAAUUGCAUCUCACUCCUUUGUGCUCUCUAGGCUUCUGUCAUCCACACCUUCACUGCCCCUCCAUUUCUCACAACUCAAUCUUCCAUUACUCAAACAGUUUAGACGGGCACCAGUUGUGGCUUUUGAAGAUCAUGAAUUUGUUCGUUGAUGGUAUGGGUAAAAGCUAUUUAAACUGAGAAGAUGAACAAAUGAGUUAGCCUGAGCAAGUGCUUCAAACAGUGAUUCGCACCUAAGGACUGGUCUACUACUACCACUUGCAUUGUGGAAAAUUAAAGGGCAAAAUGAAAAUGGGAAUUUUCUACAUUGAAAAAUUAUGGAAGCCAGCGAGUUAAACUAAUAAUGUACGGAUCCAAAAUGGACAUGACAUAUUGUAGGGCAUAUACUUUGCAGAAUUUUCCAAGUGAUCAGUACGCCACAAUUGUUCACUGAUUCGCAAAUGUGGCCUCUGUAUCAUCAGUCAAUGGACGACGUACGGAUUACAAAGGGAUCAGGCUUCCUAAUUCCAGAUUUGAUGUGAUCAAAUAUAUCUAGUCACCAACAAAACCAACCUAAUUUAAUUAUUUAUGUCAUUGUUAUCGUCCACAAUUUCUCUUCUAUCUCAUUUUCACCUUUUUUAUCUUUAUUUUUAUUUUUCAUUACAUCAUUUAUCAUAUUUAUCAAUUUUUCUCCUUUUUUUCUAUAUCUUUUCUUUCAAUU